ACAAAAGCAAAACUUCCUCUAAACACUUGCUUAAUGUAAGAGCGGAAUAAACUUUCAUAAUUUCAAAAUGAAGAUUUCGAAGUCAUAUAGAUGGCAGAUAAUUCAUACUUGAGGAAAUUAGUUUGCCUCCAAAUCCAACAACAAUCAACAAAAAUAUACAUGGAAAAUGGCAUUUAAUAGUACACUGUAAACAGAACACUGAAUGGAUAAUGAUACUAAAAUGUGUUUACAAAGGAACCAACCUGGACAUGAUGAUAGAUACACUAAGAAUUUAAAUUGUGAAUGAAGUGUACUACCAUCUUCAUCAAGAUCCGGUAUUUCUUGUAUAUAUCAGCAGUUGAGCACAUCAAGUGCUUCUGAGAUUGAACAGCAUGUUAAAUUAAACCAACAUUCCUUUCAUCCAAGAAAUGGAAUGGAAAGUAGUGGGCAGAUCAAGAGUAAGCUUGAAUCACCACGGUAUAUCAGAGAUGCAGGUCCUGAAUUAGUUGGACUUGAGGGCGAGGAAUUUCUUCCACCUGAGUGCAAGGAGAUGUACCCCUAAAUUCAUGACACCACCAUAGACCUGCACGUGUGUAACAUCAUGGCAGCAAAUUACAGUUUUCUAAAAUAUUGGCAAUGUAACAUCAUGGCUGCAAAUUUAGCUGAAAGGUCUAUGCUAACAAUAUAAGCAUUAAUUUAGAUAAUAGCCGAAUGGCCAUGCGUUGUAGCAGUUUAAAAAGCAUAUUACUAUAGCAUGUCGACCUGCACACGCUGCCCAACUUGAUAUACUUGGUCCAUGACAUGCCCUUGGCUCUGCUGUGUAACAAACUGAGCUUUACCUCAACACCACAAACAGACAUGCUCAUGUUCAGCCUACAACAAUUAAAUUUUGGAAUUAAGAAAUGUGACAGUUUAGGGCAAAAAUAUCAUAGCCUACCAAACAUAAACUACAAUGUAGCAUAUCAACAUCAUAUGCCUCCCAGAAGCAUUUAAAAGCAACUCAAAUUGAAUUUGGGUGUUGGAUCUGAUUACCUGAGAUCAUCUGCAACGACACGGUACGUAAUCAAGAAAGAUGGCAAUGUAAAAUAAAUUAUUAUCGAAUCUGACUUGAGAUAGUAGACUAACUUGGUGGCAUUUCAUCAAGGACUAUCAUUAUCACAAAAAAAGAAGAGGGCCAAUUGUCUAUUAGAAUGCACAUGGGAGAAUGUAUUGAAGUAGAAAUAGAAUAUAUGGCUGCAUGUCUCAGUACAAAAUAUAAUGUUGAAACAAUAUAUAAACUAUGAACUUAUCAUAAUGUAGAAACUAUGGAACAUAGCAUUACAUGAGGUAUUUUCAUGGAGAAAAUGGGUACCCAUGUGAUAAUUCUAACUGACACGAUACUUUGAAAUUUCUAGCAUAUACUUGUUCGCAUGAGCGUGGGAAUCAGAGCAUGUAAAUGUGGUGAACCACAAAUGAUAGGUUGUCUAUGUGAAAUGGUAAAAAUUCAGAUUGUAUGACCAAAAAAGUUUAUAUGCUGAAACCGGAAGCACGGCUUCCGGUUUAUAUGCUGUAGACACUGAACUUUGUAUCUACUACCCCUGACAAAGUUGCAUCCUUUCUAUGAUUCAGAAAAAAUAGCUUCCUUUCUGAGUAGAAAAAAGCAUAAAUUCUUCCAAUUCCAUGAGCCAGGGCAGCUGCACUCUUCCAAUUUGUCUCUACAAAACUGUUCCAGCUGGAGCGGGCCACCAUAUCAAAAAUGGAUUUAGAAGAGUUAUAACAAUGGCAAUACAAUCAGUGCAGAGCAGAACAACACACAAGUCAAGAUUUGGUGGAGAGGGGAAGGGACCGUACCAUGAAAACCAGAGGGAG
rnacentral:lncRNA from 1 species